UACAGAGGGUGCGAGCGUUAAUCGGAAUUACUGGGCGUAAAGCGUGCGUAGACGGUUAUUUAAGUCGGGUGUGAAAGCCCCGGGCUCAACCUGGGAAUUGCAUUCGAGACUGAAUAGCUAGGGUACGGUAGAGGGAAGCGGAAUUUCCGGUGUAGCGGUGAAAUGCGUAGAUAUCGGAAGGAACAUCAGUGGCGAAAGCGGCUCUCUGGGACGGUACUGACGCUGAGACGCGAAAGCGUGGGGAGCGAACAGG
rnacentral:rRNA from 1 species